rnacentral:rRNA from 1 species
AUUGAACGCUGGCGGCAGGCCCAACACAUGCAAGUCGAGCGGAUGAAGGGAGCUUGCUCCUGGAUUCAGCGGCGGACGGGUGAGUAAUGCCUAGGAAUCUGCCUGGUAGUGGGGGAUAACGUCCGGAAACGGGCGCUAAUACCGCAUACGUCCUGAGGGAGAAAGUGGGGGAUCUUCGGACCUCACGCUAUCAGAUGAGCCUAGGUCGGAUUAGCUAGUUGGUGGGGUAAAGGCCUACCAAGGCGACGAUCCGUAACUGGUCUGAGAGGAUGAUCAGUCACACUGGAACUGAGACACGGUCCAGACUCCUACGGGAGGCAGCAGUGGGGAAUAUUGGACAAUGGGCGAAAGCCUGAUCCAGCCAUGCCGCGUGUGUGAAGAAGGUCUUCGGAUUGUAAAGCACUUUAAGUUGGGAGGAAGGGCAGUAAGUUAAUACCUUGCUGUUUUGACGUUACCAACAGAAUAAGCACCGGCUAACUUCGU